CCUACGGGUGGCAGCAGUGAGGAAUAUUGGUCAAUGGGCGCGAGCCUGAACCAGCCAAGUAGCGUGAAGGAUGACUGCCCUACGGGUUGUAAACUUCUUUUAUAAAGGAAUAAAGUGAGGCACGUGUGCCUUUUUGUAUGUACUUUAUGAAUAAGGAUCGGCUAACCCCGUGCCAGCAGCCGCGGUAAUACGGAGGAUCCGAGCGUUAUCCGGAUUUAUUGGGUUUAAAGGGAGGGUAGUUGGGUUGUUAAGUCAGUUGUGAAAGUUUGCGGCUCAACCGUAAAAUUGCAAUUGAUACUGGAAGCCUUGAGUACAGUUGAGGUAGGCGGAAUUCGUGGUGUAGCAGUGAAAUGCUUAGAUAUCACGAAGAACUCCGAUUGCGAAGGCAGCUUACUAAACUGCAACUGACAUUGAUGCUCGAAAGUGUGGGUAUCAAACAGGAUUAGAUACCCCGGUAGUC
rnacentral:rRNA from 1 species